rnacentral:rRNA from 1 species
AGAGUUUGAUCCUGGCUCAGGACGAACGCUGGCGGCGUGCUUAACACAUGCAAGUCGAGCGCGAACUAGAGGUUGGAAGUUAGAGGUUAGAAGUUAGAAGAGGUAGGAAUUGGCCCGCGGCCAAUUCCAUCGACCAGUUCUAAUUUCUAAUUUCCAACUUCCAACCUCUAGGGAGAGCGGCGGACGGGUGAGUAACGCGUGGGUAACCUGCCCGUAAAUCUGGGAUAACAGCGGGAAACCGUUGCUAAUACCGGAUACACCCAUAGGCUCCCAAGGGCUUAUGGGGAAAGGCCCUUAUGGGUCGUUUACGGAUGGGCCCGCGUCCCAUUAGCUAGUUGGUAGGGUAACGGCCUACCAAGGCGACGAUGGGUAGCCGGCCUGAGAGGGUGGUCGGCCACACUGGAACUGAGACACGGUCCAGACUCCUACGGGAGGCAGCAGUGGGGAAUAUUGCGCAAUGGGCGGAAGCCUGACGCAGCAACGCUGCGUGUGGGAAGAAGGUCUUCGGAUUGUAAACCACUGUCUAGGGGGACGAAGGACUGGGGGAGGCAAUGCCCCCGGGGUGACGGUACCCCUGGAGGAAGCCCCGGCUAACUACGUGCCAGCAGCCGCGGUAAUACGUAGGGGGCGAGCGUUGUCCGGAAUUACUGGGCGUAAAGGGCGCGUAAGCGGCUGGGUGUGUCAGGUGUGAAAUACCGGGGCUUAACUCCGGGGCUGCACCUGAAACUACCCGGCUUGAGGGCAGGAGAGGGGAGUGGAAUUCCCGGUGUA